AUUGAACGCUGGCGGCAGGCCUAACACAUGCAAGUCGAGCGAGCGGCGGACGGGUGAGUAAUGUAUGGGGAUCUGCCUGAUGGAGGGGGAUAACUACUGGAAACGGUGGCUAAUACCGCAUACUAUCGGAUGAACCCAGAUGGGAUUAGCUAGUAGGUGGGGUAACGGCUCACCAAGGCGACGAUAUCUAGCUGGUCUGAGAGGAUGAUCAGCCACACUAGGACUGAGCGCCGGCCCAGACUCCUACGGGAGGCAGCAGUGGUGAAUAUUGCACAAUGGGCGCAAGCCUGAUGCAGCCAUGCCGCGUGUAUGAAGAAGGCCUUAGGGUUGUAAAGUACUUUCAGCGGGGCGGCGUUACCCGCAGAAGAAGCACCGGCUAACUCCGUGCCAGCAGCCGCGGUAAUUC
rnacentral:rRNA from 1 species